ACGUAGGGUGCGAGCGUUAAUCGGAAUUACUGGGCGUAAAGCGUGCGCAGGCGGUUCGUUGUGUCGGUGGUGAAAUCCCCGGGCUUAACCUGGGAACUGCAUUGGUGACUGGCAGGCUUUGAGUGUGGCAGAGGGAGGUAGAAUUCCACGUGUAGCAGUGAAAUGCGUAGAGAUGUGGAGGAAUACCGAUGGCGAAGGCAGCCUCCUGGGCCAACACUGACGCUCAUGCACGAAAGCGUGGGGAGCAAACAGGA
rnacentral:rRNA from 1 species